rnacentral:rRNA from 1 species
ACGCUCGACACCUACGGGAGGCAGCAGUGGGGAAUAUUGCACAAUGGGGGAAACCCUGAUGCAGCGACGCCGCGUGAGCGAAGAAGUAUUUCGGUAUGUAAAGCCCUAUCAGCAGGGAAGAUAAUGACGGUACCUGACUAAGAAGCUCCGGCUAAAUACGUGCCUGCAGCCGCGGUAAUCUGAGCGGGCUGGCAAGGC